CUCGUGACCCUGCUUGACCUGGUGCCCCUGCUGCAGCACGGUCAGCAUGAUCUGGGACAGUCCAUAUUUUAUACCACCACGUGUCUCCUGCCCUUUCUCAGUGAUGACAUUCUCAGCACUUUGCCCUAUACUAUGAUCUCCACCUUAGCCACUUUCCCCCCAUUCCUUCACAAAGACAUCAUCGAAUACCUCAGCACGUCCUUCCUCCCCAUGGCCAUACUGGGCUCCACCCGGAGGGAUGGAGGAGUUCCAGCUUAUGUUAAUUUCUCAGCCUCCUCCAUGCUCAUGAUUGCAAUGCAGUACACGUCAA